GAGUAGUGGGGGUAUUCUCCCACUCGUGACGACAAUAUAAGCGGACCGACAGUUACUAGUUCAGUCUUGCUUUGAAUUUGGACGAGUACGCAUCGCAGGUCUCACAGUAAACAUUCUCCGCAAAAUGAAAUAGAGUAGUGGGGGUAUUCUCCCACUCGUGACGACAAUAUAAGCGGACCGACAGUUACUGGUUCAGUCUUGCUUUGAAUUUCGACGAGUACGCAUCGCAGUUCUCUCAGUAAACAUUCUCCGCAAAUAAUAGAGAAGAGAAUGAAAUAGAGUAGUGGGGGUAUUCUCCCACUCGUGACGACAAUAUAAGCGGACCGACAGUUACUGGUUCAGUCUUGCUUUGAAUUUCGAUGAGUACGCAUCGCAGGUCUCGCAGUAAACAUUCUCCGCAAGUAAUAGAGAAGAGAAUGAAAUAGAGUAGUGGGGGUAUUCUCCCACUCGUGACGACAAUAUAAGCGGACCGACAGUUACUGGUUCAGUCUUGCUUUGAAUUUCGACGAGUACGCAUCGCAGUUCUCUCAGUAAACAUUCUCCGCAAAUAAUAGAGAAGAGAAUGAAAUAGAGUAGUGGGGGUAUUCUCCCACUCGUGACGACAAUAUAAGCGGACCGACAGUUACUGGUUCAGUCUUGCUUUGAAUUUCGACGAGUACGCAUCGCAGUUCUCUCAGUAAACAUUCUCCGCAAAUAAUAGAGAAGAGAAUGAAAUAGAGUAGUGGGGGUAUUCUCCCACUCGUGACGACAAUAUAAGCGGACCGACAGUUACUGGUUCAGUCUUGCUUUGAAUUUCGAUGAGUACGCAUCGCAGGUCUCGCAGUAAACAUUCUCCGCAAGUAAUAGAGAAGAGAAUGAAAUAGAGUAGUGGGGGUAUUCUCCCACUCGUGACGACAAUAUAAGCGGACCGACAGUUACUGGUUCAGUCUUGCUUUGAAUUUCGACGAGUACGCAUCGCAGUUCUCUCAGUAAACAUUCUCCGCAAGUAAUAGCGAAGAGAUUCAAAUUGGGAGUAGGGAUACUUGGCCUCGUGAGACGACAACAAAGUUGGAGCUUUGACUGACUGUUACAAUUACUAGUUCAGUUGUGUUUUGGACUUUGACGAGAGAACUUAGAAAUUUUCGCUGGAUGCCGUUUCUACA